GUGGGGAAUAUUGGACAAUGGGCGAAAGCCUGAUCCAGCCAUGCCGCGUGUGUGAAGAAGGUCUUCGGAUUGUAAAGCACUUUAAGUUGGGAGGAAGGGCAGUAAGUUAAUACCUUGCUGUUUUGACGUUACCGACAGAAUAAGCACCGGCUAACUUCGUGCCAGCAGCCGCGGUAAUACGAAGGGUGCAAGCGUUAAUCGGAAUUACUGGGCGUAAAGCGCGCGUAGGUGGUUCAGCAAGUUGGAGGUGAAAUCCCCGGGCUCAACCUGGGAACUGCCUCCAAAACUACUGGGCUAGAGUACGGUAGAGGGUAGUGGAAUUUCCUGUGUAGCGGUGAAAUGCGUAGAUAUAGGAAGGAACACCAGUGGCGAAGGCGACCACCUGGACUGAUACUGACACUGAGGUGCGAAAGCGUGGGGAGCAAACAGGAUUAGAUACCCCAGUAGUCC
rnacentral:rRNA from 1 species